rnacentral:rRNA from 1 species
AUUGAGCGCUGGCGGCAUGCCUUACACAUGCAAGUCGAACGGCAGCACGGGUGCUUGCACCUGGUGGCGAGUGGCGAACGGGUGAGUAAUACAUCGGAACAUGUCCUGUAGUGGGGGAUAGCCCGGCGAAAGCCGGAUUAAUACCGCAUACGAUCCACGGAUGAAAGCGGGGGACCUUCGGGCCUCGCGCUAUAGGGUUGGCCGAUGGCUGAUUAGCUAGUUGGUGGGGUAAAGGCCUACCAAGGCGACGAUCAGUAGCUGGUCUGAGAGGACGACCAGCCACACUGGGACUGAGACACGGCCCAGACUCCUACGGGAGGCAGCAGUGGGGAAUUUUGGACAAUGGGCGAAAGCCUGAUCCAGCAAUGCCGCGUGUGUGAAGAAGGACUUCGGGUUGUAAAGCACUUUUGUCCGGAAAGAAAUCCUUGACUCUAAUACAGUCGGGGGAUGACGGUACCGGAAGAAUAAGCACCGGCUAACUACGUG